UACAGAGGUCCCGAGCGUUGUUCGGAUUCAUCUGGGGCGUAAAGGGCGCGUAGGUGGCUUGGCAAGGUUUGGCGUGAAAUCUCCGGGCUUAACCCGGAAAUGGCGUUGAAUACUGUUUGAGCUGGAGGUUUGGAGGGGGGACUGGAAUUCUUGGUGUAGCAGUGAAAUGCGUAGAUAUGACGGAGGAACACCGAUGGCGAAGGCAAUCCCCUGGGCCUGCACUGACGCUCAUGCACGAAAGCGGUGGGGAGCAAACAGG
rnacentral:rRNA from 1 species